rnacentral:rRNA from 1 species
GAUCUGAAAUCAGGUAGGGCUACCCGCUGAACUUAAGCAUAUCAAUAAGCGGAGGAAAAGAAACUAACAAGGAUUCCCCUAGUAACGGCGAGUGAAGCGGGAAGAGCUCAAAUUUAAAAUCUAGUUUGCUUGCAAACUCGAGUUGUAGUCUGAAGAAACGUUUUCCAUGGAAGCUGAGGCACAAGUCCUUUGGAACAGGGCAUCAUAGAGGGUGAGAAUCCCGUCCAUGGUCUCAAGUCUUUCAUUUUGUGAUACGUUUUCUAAGAGUCAGGUUGUUUGGGAAUGCAGCCUAAAAUGGGUGGUAAAUUUCAUCUAAAGCUAAAUAUUGGCGAGAGACCGAUAGCGAACAAGUACCGUGAGGGAAAGAUGGAAAGAACUUUGAAAAGAGAGUUAAAAAGUACGUGAAAUUGUUGAAAGGGAACCGU